rnacentral:rRNA from 1 species
UACAGAGGUGCCAAGCGUUAGGCGGAAUCACUGGGCUUAAAGCGCGUGUAGGUGGGUCGUUAAGUGUCCGCGUGAAAUCCCACGGCUCAACCGUGGAACUGCUGGGCAUACUGCGGGUCUUGGGCCAACUAGGGGCAGCCGGAACAAGCGGUGGAGCGGUGAAAUGCGUAGAUAUCGCUUGGAACGCCGAAGGUGAAAACAGGCUGCUGGGGUUGCGCCGACGCUGAGACACGAAAGCCAGGGGAGCAAACGGG